GAUGAACGCUGGCGGCGUGCCUAACACACGCAAGUCGAGCGAUUCUCUGCGGAGAAGAGCGGCGGACGGGUGAGUAACGCGUGGGUAACCUGCCCUGUACACACGGAUAACAUACCGAAAGGUAUGCUACUACGAGAUAAUAUGCUUUUAUCGCAUGGUAGAUGUAUCAAAGCUUUUGCGGUACAGGAUGGACCCGCGUCUGAUGAGCUAGUUGGGAAGGUAACGGCUUACCAAGGCGACGAUCAGUAGCCGACCUGAGAGGGGGAUCGGCCACAUUGGAACUGAGACACGGUCCAAACUCCUACGGGAGGCAGCAGUGGGGAAUAUUGCACAAUGGGCGAAAGCCUGAUGCAGCAACGCCGCGUGAGCGAUGAAGGCCUUCGGGUCGUAAAGCUCUGUCCUCAAGGAAGAUAAUGACGGUACUUGAGGAGGAAGCCCCGGCUAACUACGUGCCAGCAGCCGCCGCUG
rnacentral:rRNA from 1 species